GCUUUUAUUGAGCCCGGCACAAAAACGCCGGUGAGGAACACACAAACGGUUGGCCAAUGGGUCGUCCUAAAACGAUACGUUAUUUAAUUACGGCUAAGAAAAGUUCCAGAGCCAUCCGCCACCAGUGUUGGGUAACGCACGAUUCUGUACCAGCUUGUACGCAUGCUGCAACACUUGAGUCAGUCUUCGUCAACCUGCUGCUUGUGUUAUUUGUACAUUUUAUUCAUAAACAAUUGAAAUUCAAUGCAUUCGAAAGCUCUUUAUGAGGUCCAGCGACUCAAAUAAAUAAAAGUACAAAAUCCAUGACAGGAAA